rnacentral:rRNA from 1 species
CACAGACAACCAGGAUGUUGGCUUAGAAGCAGCCACUCAUUCAAAGAGUGCGUAAUAGCUCACUGGUCGAGUGAUCCUGCGCCGAAGAUUUCCGGGGCUAAAACUUACUACCGAAGCUACGGCAUCAGUAAUGAUGGGUAGGGGAGCUUCCCAUACGGGUUGAAGCAUGACCGUAAGGACAUGUGGACAGUAUGGGAGUGAGAAUGUUGGCAUGAGUAGCGAGAGGUGGGUGAGAAUCCCACAGGCCGUAAACCCAAGGUUUCCAGGGGAAGGUUCGUCCGCCCUGGGUUAGUCGGGACCUAAGCUGAGGCCGAAAGGCGUAGGUGAUGGACAACAGGUUGAUAUUCCUGUACUACCGAUAAC